rnacentral:piRNA from 1 species
CAAAAGCUCUUUUAGGUCCACAAU